GGAGGUUUUUAUUCUAGACAUGAGGAUAUUUCAACGUCUAUAUGAUAAAAGGCUAUAAUGAUCAUGUGUGCUGGCUGCCAAAUGUACAGGUGUCCCCGUAGGAAUAAUAUUUCAAUUGUUCGUUGGACCUCCCUCCUAAUGAGAAGGUCCUCAUCCUGCUGGUGUGAGCUGCUGGACAGCCUAGUAAAGGUCAGAUGGUUUCCUAAUGAGAAGGUCCUCAUCCUGCUGGUGUGAGCUGCUGGACAGCCUAGUAAAGGUCAGAUGGUCUCCUAAUGAGAAGGCCCUCAUCCUGCUGGUGUGAGCUGCUGGACAGCCUAGUAAAGGUCAGAUGGUUUCCUAAUGAAGAGGCCCUCAUCCUGCUGGUGUGAGCUGCUGGACAGCCUAGUAAAGGUCAGAUGGUCUCCUAAUGAGAAGGCCCUCAUCCUGC
rnacentral:lncRNA from 1 species